rnacentral:misc_RNA from 1 species
AACUUUCGGCAAUGGAUCUCUUGGCUCUCGCAUCGAUGAAGAACGCAGCGAAAUGCGAUAAGUAAUGUGAAUUGCAGAAUUUUGUGAAUCAUCGAAUCUUUGAACGCACAUUGCACCCCCUGGUAUUCCGGGGGGUACACCUGUUCGAGCGCCGUUUUAAACCUAAGGCUCAGCCUUGUGAUGGCCAUCCUUUGACAAAAGGGGGCUCAAAAACGUGGAGGUUCCAGCAGAUUGGAAGCAUACGCAAUAGUAUAGCGAUCUCUUUACUGGCGUCUCAGUACCUAAAACGUAUGGCCUCGGAUCAGGUGGGGAUACCCGCUGAACUUAAGCAUAUCAAUAAGCGGAGGCU